UUUCCGUAGGUGAACCUGCGGAAGGAUCAUUCAUAAUAAGUGUUUUAUGGCACUUUUUUAAAUCCAUAUCCACCUUGUGUGCAAUGUCAGGGUUGAUUUUUCUCACGAGAGGAUCAGCCCCAAACAUCAACUAUAUCUCAACUCUUUGUCUGAAAAAUAUUAUGAAUAAAACAAUUCAAAAUACAACUUUCAACAACGGAUCUCUUGGCUCUC
rnacentral:misc_RNA from 1 species